rnacentral:tRNA from 3 species
UCCUCCGUAGCUCAGUGGUAGAGCGGUCGGCUGUUAACCGAUUGGUCGCUGGUUCGAAUCCAGCCGGGGGAG